CCAAAUGCCAAAAGUUCUAAAGUGAAAUUUAGGGCAACAGAAGAAAUUGGAAAAGACAUUUGGAAAUACAAAGAGAUUUUCGAGGAUCCUGAAAUCAGGGCACAGGUGCAGCUGCCAGCCCUGCCUCCUGUUCAUGCUGGCUCUUGAGUGUCCCUGGAUGAAGAAAUUAAUAAGUUCAAAUACAGUAUCUGAGGGGGAUUGGUUCCAGAACCUCCUGCAGAUACCCAAAUCCAGGAUAGUGCAGAAAGGUGUAUACUAAACAACAUUUGGAAGAAGAAAAACCUGGCAUCAUUCUGAGAAAGUAUUUUCUCUAACUCUGAGCAUGCAGUUAAUUCUAUGGAUAAACUGAAAGGAACAGGAUGGAUAUUGGACAGCUUCCCUGCUUUUCUAGAAUCAAAUGCAAAACUAUUGUUUUAAUUCAAAUCAAUUAUCAAA
rnacentral:lncRNA from 1 species